GAUGAACGCUGGCGGCGUGCCUAAUACAUGCAAGUCGAGCGUACAGACGAGGAGCUUGCUCCUCUGACGUUAGCGGCGGACGGGUGAGUAACACGUGGAUAACCUACCUAUAAGACUGGGAUAACUUCGGGAAACCGGAGCUAAUACCGGAUAAUAUAUUGAACCGCAUGGUUCAAUAGUGAAAGACGGUUUUGCUGUCACUUAUAGAUGGAUCCGCGCCGCAUUAGCUAGUUGGUAAGGUAACGGCUUACCAAGGCAACGAUGCGUAGCCGACCUGAGAGGGUGAUCGGCCACACUGGAACUGAGACACGGUCCAGACUCCUACGGGAGGCAGCAGUAGGGAAUCUUCCGCAAUGGGCGAAAGCCUGACGGAGCAACGCCGCGUGAGUGAUGAAGGUCUUCGGAUCGUAAAACUCUGUUAUUAGGGAAGAACAAAUGUGUAAGUAACUAUGCACGUCUUGACGGUACCUAAUCAGAAAGCCACGGCUAACUUCGUG
rnacentral:rRNA from 1 species